UACAGAGGGUGCAAGCGUUAAUCGGAAUUACUGGGCGUAAAGCGAGCGUAGUCGGUUAUUUAAGUCGGGUAUGAAAGCCCCGGGCUCAACCUGGGAAUUGCAUUCGAUACUGGAUAGCUAGAGUUCGGCAGAGGGAAGCGGAAUUUCCGGUGUAGCGGUGAAAUGCGUAGAUAUCGGAAGGAACAUCAGUGGCGAAAGCGGCUUCCUGGACCAGAACUGACGAUCAGGCUCGAAAGCGUGGGGAGCAAACAGG
rnacentral:rRNA from 1 species